rnacentral:rRNA from 1 species
AUGUACGACAUCAUGUACACCAAGGCACAAGUGUUUGACCAGUUGGCAUUCGGUGGCUUGGUCAUACAUUUAAGUUCACUUGUGCCUUGCCUGGCCGCUCUUUUAAACUUCACCAAUAGCAAUAGAGAUGGCUACAAUACACCCGACAUUGUUAUCACUUUUGCUCUUCUUGGCGCAGCUUUUGCAUUGGAGGUCGCAUCUGCUUUCAAGUCCUCGACAUGGGUAGCUGCCUACCUGAGAGAGAGCGGAUGGGACUGGCUGGCCAAUGCGAUUCUGUUCGCACGUUACCACCUCAUGAUCAUCAAGGAUGGAAGAUGGUCCAAUUCCGUCGGGCAAUUUAACUUUGCAUCCUUUUGUGCUCACAACGCCAAGAACAAACUCGAGGGAAAAAUAGCCCAAUGGAUUGGGCUCCGGGACUGGUGGGACAAAGCUCGCUGCACCAAACAUGCCAAGCUUUCGCCUAACCUCAAGGAGUUUGUAUGGUGCAUUCUCAAAGGUGACAAGAGGCAUAUGGUACGGAUAGAAGACGCAAGCAUCCGGAGAGGGUACUGGGCCCGCAAGUUUGGCAGCCUCGGCCAGGUCAAACAACUGGACUGGAGAUUGAGUUUGGAAUUUCAUGAGAGCGUGCUUAUCUGGCAUAUAGCCACAAGCACCUUCCUCAGUAACCCUGCCGUCAAAUGUCAGCUGGCGGACAAGGAUAAGGAAAUGGCUGAAGCAGUCAACACUCUCUCUAACUACAUGAUGUACCUCCUCGUCAAGCACCCUGACAUUCUGCGCGUCAAUCCAGAUGUUCGUAGCUUGUUUAACAAAGCCUGCUACUGUUACAGUGACGAUCUGAGAUACUCAAAUUGGAGAUAUAAUGCGGAUGAGCAUCACCAGAGAAUUCUGGAUUACAAGGAAGGGCCUGCUGAGUGGAUAGGAGGUCUAGAUGAUGAUGAACAUCUUUUUAAUAGAAAAAAAAACUUAUGCAUAUGUUUUCCAGGGCAAAGGUGUGCUGGUGCAAGCAGGCAGCAUUGCUCACACAAUGCUCGACAUGGAGAAGGAGCUCACAGAUAA